rnacentral:misc_RNA from 1 species
AAGUCGUAACAAGGUUUCCGUAGGUGAACCUGCGGAAGGAUCAUUAAAAAAUAUUUAUCCGAGAAUUCGUUUCGUUUUCUCGGAUUAAUUUGUAUUCAAAUCCCACUCUUUAUUAAUAUAUCAAUUAUAUAUAAAACAAAAUAAAAAAAAGAAAACUUUCAACAACGGAUCUCUUGGCUCUC